rnacentral:rRNA from 1 species
GAUGAACGCUAGCUACAGGCUUAACACAUGCGAGUCGAGGGGCAGCGGUAUCGAAAGCUUGCUUUCGGUAGCCGGCGACCGGCGCACGGGUGAGUAACGCGUAUCGAACCUGCCUCAUACUCGGGAAUAGCCUUGCGAAAGUAAGAUUAAUGCCCGGUGUUUUCAGAGUCCCGCAUGAGGCUUUGAACAAAGAUUUAUCGGUAUGAGAUGGCGAUGCGUCCCAUUAGCUUGUUGGCGGGGUAACGGCCCACCAAGGCAUCGAUGGGUAGGGGUUCUGAGAGGAAGGUCCCCCACAUUGGAACUGAGACACGGUCCAAACUCCUACGGGAGGCAGCAGUGAGGAAUAUUGGUCAAUGGGCGGAAGCCUGAACCAGCCAAGUAGCGUGCAGGAAGACGGCCCUCCGGGUUGUAAACUGCUUUUAGUUGGGAAUAAAACGGGGCUCGUGAGCCCCCUUGCAUGUACCAUCAGAAAAAGGACCGGCUAAUUCCGUG